UGAGGUAGUAUUGUUUGGAAGA
rnacentral:miRNA from 1 species